rnacentral:rRNA from 1 species
UACGUAGGGAGCAAGCGUUGUCCGGAAUCAUUGGGCGUAAAGCGCGCGUAGGCGGCCCUGUAAGUCCGUUGUGAAAGUCAAAGGCUCAACCUUUGAAAGCCGAUGGAUACUGCAGGGCUAGAGUCCGGAAGAGGCGAGUGGAAUUCCUGGUGUAGCGGUGAAAUGCGUAGAUAUCGGGAGGAACACCAGUGGCGAAGGCGAUCAUCUGGGGUUGUUCUGACGCUGAGGAGCGAAAGCUAGGGGAGCAAACGGG